rnacentral:lncRNA from 1 species
GUGUUAGCCUGUUUCUGACACUGCUUGGUAGAUACCAUGGGCCCGUCUCAAGUCUCACUCUAAACAAAGAAUAACGAGGUGAUGAGAUUGUGUAAGCUUCUAUUUUACUCCGGCCUAGGAGGUAUAGGAAAUGCCACGUUUUUUUAAACUAGAAAUCACCGUUCCUUACAUGAGACUCUUUCAAAAGGUGUAACUUCCCUGAAAGACUACCUGUGGCUUUCUUAUUUCAGAUGGAGUAACAAGCCAAGUAUUCCAGUGAGGCAGCAAAAUCGAAGGGUCAACAACAGCUAUCAGAGAGUAUUCCAGGAAAUAAAUGAACAUCAGACUUUACACAUCAAGGUGUACUAUAACGCGGAAUGGGAAUUGAGACUCUUGGAAAAUAGGAAAGAAAAAAACCAGCCUGCGUGAAAAAUUGCUGCUUUCCUUCUACAUCUGCAAAUGUUCCUCUUCAAGGGAGAUGCAAGGUAAAGAGCUCACAGCUCAACUCCUCUGGACAGCGAAAGGCAAGAAGGUAAAGGAGAGGUAUUUUUGGCUCCUGUUUCUGCUAACGAAGCACG